CUCUCUUAGUCACACGUUCUGUAGAGGCCGGCUGUGGAUCACCAUGUACCCUUAGUUAGUAAUAAACUGCUCUAAAAUGAUCUAACGCUGAAUGGUGGACAGUGUCAGGGGAUUAUGACCAAUUAAAUGAGAUUAAAUGGCAAUGACUACUGUUUAUUUAGGAUUUAUAUUAUAUAGAAGUAUAAGAAAUACACGUAGCAUG